rnacentral:rRNA from 1 species
AGUGAACGCUGGCGGUAGGCCUAACACAUGCAAGUCGAACGGCAGCACAGUAAGAGCUUGCUCUUACGGGUGGCGAGUGGCGGGCGGGUGAGGAAUACAUCGGAAUCUACUUUUUCGGGGGGGAUAACGUAGGGAAACUUACGAUAAUACAUCAUACGACCUACGGGUGAAAGAAGGGGGGCUUCGGACCUUGUGCGAUUGAAUGAGCCGAUGUCGGAUUCGCUAGUUGGGGGGGUAAAGGCCCACCAAGGCGGCGGUCCGUAGCUGGUCCGAGAGGAUGGACAGCCACACUGGAUGUGAGACACAGUCCAGACUCCUACAGUGGGCAACAGUGGGGAAUAUUGGACGAUGGGCGCAAGCCUGAUCCAGCCAUACCGCGUGGGUGAAGAAGGCCUUCGGGUUGUAAAGCCCUGUUGUUGGGAAAAAAAAGCAGCAGGUUAAUACCCCGCUGUUCUGACGGUACCCAAAGAGUAAGCACCGGCUAACUACGUG